CAACAGGGAUUGCCCUAGUAACGGCGAGUGAAGCGGCAACAGCUCAAAUUUGAAAUCUGGCCUCGGCCCGAGUUGUAAUUUGCAGAGGAUGCUUCUGGCGCGGUGCCUUCCGAGUUCCCUGGAACGGGACGCCAAAGAGGGUGAGAGCCCCGUAUGGUCGGACACCAAGCCUGUGUGAAGCUCCUUCGACGAGUCGAGUAGUUUGGGAAUGCUGCUCUAAAUGGGAGGUAAAUCUCUUCUAAAGCUAAAUACCGGCCAGAGACCGAUAGCGCACAAGUAGAGUGAUCGAAAGAUGAAAAGCACCUUGAAAAGGGGGUUAAAUAGUACGUGAAAUUGUUGAAAGGGAAGCACUUAUGACCAGACUUGGGCCGGGCGGCUCAUCAGGGGUUCUCCCCUGUGCACUCCGCCCGGUACAGGCCAGCAUCGGUUUUCGCGGGGGGAUAAGACGGUCAGGAACGUAGCACCCUCCGGGGUGUGUUAUAGCCUGGCUGACGAUACCCUCGCGGGGACCGAGGUUCGCGCUCCGCAAGGAUGCUGGCGUAAUGGUCAUCAGUGA
rnacentral:rRNA from 1 species